UACGGAGGGGGCGAGCGUUGUUCGGAGUCACUGGGCGUAAAGCGCGCGUAGGCGGUGCGGUAAGUCAGGGGUUAAAGGCUGCAGCUCAACUGCAGUAAGGCCUUUGAUACUAUCGCGCUAGAGUACCAGAGAGGAUGGCGGAAUUCCCGGUGUAGCGGUGAAAUGCGUAGAUAUCGGGAGGAAGGCCGGUGGCGAAGGCGGCCUCCUGGGCCUGCACUGACGCUGAGGCGCGAAAGCGUGGGGAGCAAACAGG
rnacentral:rRNA from 1 species